rnacentral:rRNA from 1 species
GACGAACCGAGCGAACGUUGUUCGGAAUCACUGGGCUUAAAGGGCGCGUAGGCGGGUGCUCAAGUCCGUGGUGAAAUCCUCCGGCUCAACCGGAGAACUGCCUCGGAUACUGGGCGUCUCGAGUGUGGUAGGGGUAUGCGGAACUAUCGGUGGAGCGGUGAAAUGCGUUGAUAUCGAUAGGAACUCCGGUGGCGAAGGCGGCAUACUGGACCAACACUGACGCUGAGGAGCGAAAGCCAGGGGAGCAAACGGG